CAGAAAUGUCCCUUUUUUUGGGAUUUUGCUUCAAUGGCCACGCUCUCGUUGUCUUUUGGUAAUAAGGGCUUGUGGGUGCAUGCGAUGGAGGCCGAUGGAUGUUAUACUUCACUUCCCCAAAUGGCGCUUCAAAAGUGAGAACACAAAGAUGAGGUUCAUUGAUAAAGCUUGUCUGCUAAGGAAAGUGUCUUCCAGCUAAGUCCCCAAGACGUAAUCUAGAUGAAUAUCAAUCAAACUGAGGCAAUACUCGUUAGAACUUUCCCAGAGUCAUCAAAAUGGACCAAUAUGAACAUAUGAAGACUGGAACAUUUUAAAUUCCUCAUAUCACAGUCCCUAGACGUGAAGUGGAGUUAAUAGAAAAAUGUUGAAAGUAGGGUCCCAACCUCCUUUUGCUGUCGUCUUAGAAUAUGAACACAAGGGUAGUAAGAUUGCA